UAUGCAAUGAGUUUAAGCUCAAAACAUCCUGCAAAUAUACAUACACAAAAUGAAAGAAAGAAAUAAAAAAGAAAAAAGAAAAAAUGGAAAAAUAGGUCACAUAUUUGUAUGUUUCUUGUUUUUCCAUUUUUUUUUUUUUUUUUUUUUUUCCUUUUUCUUUCUCCUAAUUUGUGUAAUUUUUAUAAAAACAGGAAGGAAGGUCUGAGAUGCUGCAUUUAAAGAAUAGAAAAGAAAAGUCAAUGAAUUUUAAUUUUUUUUUUUUUUUUUUUUAUAAUUCUUAUGAAUUAAAAAGAAAGAAAAAAAAAGUUAUAACAUUCGUUGUUACUUUUUAUUUCACAUAUAUAUAUAUAUAUAUAUUCUUUAAUAAAAUUUUUGAGAGAAAAUGUAUUGAACAAAUAUUAAUUAGUUACCAGAAAUAUCAAUCAUAUAUUUAAAAUUUCGUAAGAAGUUUUGUGUAUGGUUUUGAAAAAGCUAAUAAGCAAGUAUACAUUGGUGAGUUCGAUUUUUGAGGUUUUUCUUUAUUCCUACAUCUCAUAUAUCAAUAUUUUUUUUAUAAUUAUAUAUUAUACGAGGUGAUAAUAAGAAAAAUAACUUAAUUCAGACUACUCCUAAAUUCAUUGCUGCAA
rnacentral:ribozyme from 17 species